AAAUGGGUGAAGUUAGAAUUAAAUAAUUUUGUAUUUAUUUGAAGCAAACACUUGUCCUUAUGAUGUGUUUUAAAUGUUUAUAGCUGUUAGUUGAAGAAGGUUCAUCCACCUUUUUAUUGAAAUCCACUAACUCUUUAUAAGAAGCAUUCCUUCAUAAUUAAUUAUCCUACCUACUACAUCCAUCAAGAGAAACAAAAAGGCAUAGAAAGAUGUUUGGUUUUUUCAGAAACAAAAAGGCUAAAAUAUUCCUUUAAAUUAAGUCUCCGUCUCUUUGGUUUUUUCAUCUGCUGACUAUUUUUUUCGAAUAGAAGCUUUGUUGGCUUAGAAGAUGUUUAAAGAGUUCGAAUUUGGGCAAAAGAAGUAGAUGCAUCGGAGCUUCUAUUUUAAAAUGGGUUGAAAAAGUAGAUGCAUGGAGCUUCUAUUUUAAUAUGGGUUUGUGAAGUUGCAGCUUUCUUUGAAAUUAUAUGAAGUUGCAGAAAAAUAGAAACUUUUUUAAAGAAAGAAAACUGCAAUUAUAUUUCAUCUCCAUAAUGAGGCUAAGAGUAUGGAUGAUGUUUGGGAAGAAACAGUUGGUGUCGAUGGCCAAUUGUGGCUUUUGUGUCGUAUAUUUUUGAAAUUUCAGAAUACUGAAGGCAGUGUGGCUAUUGAAAGUUCAAAGGCUGCUGAAAUUGUUCUUAGUGAAAUUAUUCUGGCAUCAAAGGUUCACUGCAUAGUAUUCACUGAAUGAAUUGCACAGACUUGAUAUUGGCACUACCAUGGAAGAGUUGUAAGAAUGUUUCCAUAAAGGUUCUCUUAUGAGCAGGGGUGCACUCAAUAACAUUUCAUCCGGAUGGAAGAAUUGGACAUGAAGAUGCCUUAAAGGGACUUUUCAUAUUUUUCUGAUUAGAGGACUUGCGAGAGAUAGUAAAAUCCAAGAAGAUAGUGUUCUGGAGGCUGAAGUUGAGAUGUUCAAGAAGAUUUAAGAUCCAAUUCCUAGAUUUGAUUAUAAGCUGGUUUUUUAAUUACUGAAGACUGAAGUAUCUUGUUGGGAGCAACCUCUGUGAUGGAUGACACAGAUUGAGGCAUGACGAAGGCACUGGAGUUUUUCUUUCAAUUCACCUAAACGGAAGCCAUGCAUUAAGCAUGACGAAGGCACUGGAGUUUUUCUUUUAAUUCACCUAAAUGGAAGCCAUGCAUUAAGCAUGACGAAGGCACUGGAGUUUUUCUUUUAAUUCACCUAAAUGGAAGCCAUGCAUUAAGUUGCCACAUGUCAUUGAAUUAGGAGAUACACUUGUCAAGCAAAUGAUGUUCCACAUGUCAACCAAAGACCACUACUACACUCCUAUUAUAUAUUAAUAGAUUAAUAGAAGAUAGAAGAUAGAUUAACUAAUUUUAAGUGUGUAUUUGUAUAUUCUAUAUUAGUGAUUAAUUUUAGUAAUAGAUUUUAAGGAAAAGUCUAGGGCCAGCAAUUUUUAUGUUUUUUGGCCAACACUUAACCAUCAAAAUAAAAGUGAGUGAUCUCUUACCAUUAGAUGUAAUCUCACACCAUUAAAAAUACUAUUGAUGGCCAAUUAAUGAUUACAAAACACCAAAAUUGCUGGCCCCUAACAUUCCUUAGAUUUUAAUAUAAACCUAGCAUGGUUGCUCA